AGACCCGAAACCCGGUGAUCUAGCCAUGGGCAGGUUGAAGGUUGGGUAACACUAACUGGAGGACCGAACCGACUAAUGUUGAAAAAUUAGCGGAUGACUUGUGGCUGGGGGUGAAAGGCCAAUCAAACCGGGAGAUAGCUGGUUCUCCCCGAAAGCUAUUUAGGUAGCGCCUCGUGAAUUCAUCUCCGGGGGUAGAGCACUGUUUCGGCAAGGGGGUCAUCCCGACUUACCAACCCGAUGCAAACUGCGAAUACCGGAGAAUGUUAUCACGGGAGACACACGGCGGGUGCUAACGUCCGUCGUGAAGAGGGAAACAACCCAGACCGCCAGCUAAGGUCCCAAAGUCAUGGUUAAGUGGGAAACGAUGUGGGAAGGCCCAGACAGCCAGGAUGUUGGCUUAGAAGCAGCCAUCAUUUAAAGAAAGCGUAAUAGCUCACUGGUCGAGUCGGCCUGCGCGGAA
rnacentral:rRNA from 2 species